rnacentral:rRNA from 1 species
GACGAACGCUGGCGGCGUGCUUAACACAUGCAAGUCGAACGGAAAGGCCCUGCUUUUGUGGGGUGCUCGAGUGGCGAACGGGUGAGUAACACGUGAGUAACCUGCCCUUGACUUUGGGAUAACUUCAGGAAACUGGGGCUAAUACCGGAUAGGAGCUCCUGCUGCAUGGUGGGGGUUGGAAAGUUUCGGCGGUUGGGGAUGGACUCGCGGCUUAUCAGCUUGUUGGUGGGGUAGUGGCUUACCAAGGCUUUGACGGGUAGCCGGCCUGAGAGGGUGACCGGCCACAUUGGGACUGAGAUACGGCCCAGACUCCUACGGGAGGCAGCAGUGGGGAAUAUUGCACAAUGGGCGGGAGCCUGAUGCAGCAACGCCGCGUGCGGGAUGACGGCCUCCGGGUUGUAAACCGCUUUCGCCUGUGACGAAGCGUGAGUGACGGUAAUGGGUAAAGAAGCACCGGCUAACUACGUG